rnacentral:rRNA from 1 species
UGAACGCUGGCGGUAUGCUUAACACAUGCAAGUCGAACGGUAACAGGCAAAGCUUGCUUUGCGCUGACGAGUGGCGGACGGGUGAGUAACGCGUAGGAAUCUGCCUUAUAGUGGGGGAUAGCCCGGAGAAAUCCGGAUUAAUACCGCAUACGCCCUACGGGGGAAAGUUGGGGAUCUUCGGACCUGACGCUAUUAGAUGAGCCUGCGUGAGAUUAGCUUGUUGGUGGGGUAAUGGCCUACCAAGGCAACGAUCUCUAGCUGGUCUGAGAGGACGAUCAGCCACACUGGGACUGAGACACGGCCCAGACUCCUACGGGAGGCAGCAGUGGGGAAUAUUGCACAAUGGGCGCAAGCCUGAUGCAGCAAUACCGCGUGUGUGAAGAAGGCCUGCGGGUUGUAAAGCACUUUCAAUAGUGAAGAAAAGCUUUUGGUUAAUAACCUUGAGUCUUGACAUUAGCUAUACAAGAAGCACCGGCUAACUCC